UACGUAGGGUGCAAGCGUUGUCCGGAAUUAUUGGGCGUAAAGGGCUCGUAGGCGGUCCGUCACGUCGGGAGUGAAAACUUGGGGCUUAACCCCAAGCCUGCUUCCGAUACGGGCGGACUAGAGGUAGGCAGGGGAGAACGGAAUUCCUGGUGUAGCGGUGAAAUGCGCAGAUAUCAGGAGGAACACCAGUGGCGAAGGCGGCUAUCUGGGCUGGAACUGACGCUGAGGCGCGAAGGCUAGGGGAGCAAACAGG
rnacentral:rRNA from 1 species